UACGUAGGCAGCAAGCGUUGUUCGGAAUUACUGGGCGUAAAGAGUGUGUGGGCGGUGCUCUAAGUUCGGUGUGAAAUCUCCCGGCUUAACUGGGAGGGUGCGCCGGAAACUGGAGUGCUCGAGCGUGGGAGAGGAAAGCGGAAUUCCUGGUGUAGCGGUGAAAUGCGUAGAUAUCAGGAGGAACACCUGCGGUGUAGACGGCUUUCUGGACCAUUGCUGACGCUGAGACACGAAAGCGUGGGUAGCAAACAGG
rnacentral:rRNA from 1 species